AAUGACCUCCCUUUCAAUCAUUCAAAUCACUCCUCUCAAUCUCACUUAAUUUUUGUUGUCACCAACAACUGGUAUCAGAGCGAUCUUGUAGCAGCAAGAAUGGCAGCAGAAAAACAAGUUGAGAGCUACGUUCAGCCCGCCAUCCCGAGGUUCGAUGGUCACUAUGAUCAUUGGGCGAUGUUGAUGGAAAAUUUUCUCAGAUCAAAGGAGUUUUUUGAUAUGGUGGAGACGGGUUAUGAAGAGCCAAAUGAAGGCGAGGUGCUCUCAGCUGGUGGUGAUCACUGAAAAAUAUUUUCAUGAUAAG